rnacentral:rRNA from 1 species
GAUCCUGGCUCAGAUUGAACGCUAGCGGGAUGCCUUACACAUGCAAGUCGAACGGCAGCGCGGACUUCGGUCUGGCGGCGAGUGGCGAACGGGUGAGUAAUGUAUCGGAACGUGCCUAGUAGCGGGGGAUAACUACUCGAAAGAGUAGCUAAUACCGCAUACGCCCUACGGGGAAAGGGGGGGAUCGCAAGACCUCUCACUAUUAGAGCGGCCGAUAUCGGAUUAGCUAGUUGGUGAGGUAAAGGCUCACCAAGGCGACGAUCCGUAGCUGGUUUGAGAGGACGACCAGCCACACUGGGACUGAGACACGGCCCAGACUCCUACGGGAGGCAGCAGUGGGGAAUUUUGGACAAUGGGGGAAACCCUGAUCCAGCCAUUCCGCGUGUGCGAUGAAGGCCUUCGGGUUGUAAAGCACUUUUGGCAGGAAAGAAAUCGCAUCAAUUAAUACUUGGUGUGGAUGACGGUACCUGCAGAAUAAGCACCGGCUAACUACGUG